rnacentral:rRNA from 1 species
GUAGGGAAUAUUGCGCAAUGGACGAAAGUCUGACGCAGCAACGCCGCGUGCGGGAUGAAGCUUCUUGGAGUGUAAACCGCUGUCAGGAGGGACGAACGAUUCCGGGUCUAACAUAGCCGGGAUUUGACGGUACCUUCAGAGGAAGCUCCGGCUAACUCCGUGCCAGCAGCCGCGGUAAUACGGGGGGAGCAAGCGUUGUUCGGAAUCACUGGGCGUAAAGGGUGCGCAGGCGGGAGGAUAGGUCGGAUGUGAAAACCCUGGGCUCAACCCAGGGCCUGCAUCUGAAACCAUCCUUCUUGAGUAUCGGAGAGGGAAGCGGAACUCCAGGUGUAGCGGUGAAAUGCGUAGAUAUCUGGGGGAACACCGGUGGCGAAGGCGGCUUCCUGGACGAAUACUGACGCUCAGGCACGAAGGCUAGGGGAGCAAACAGGAUUAGAUACCCGAGUAGUCC